GACGAACGCUGGCGGCGUGCCUAAUACAUGCAAGUUGAGCGAUGAAGAUUGGUGCUUGCACCAAUUUGAAGAGCAGCGAACGGGUGAGUAACGCGUGGGGAAUCUGCCUUUGAGCGGGGGACAACAUUUGGAAACGAAUGCUAAUACCGCAUAAUAACUUUAAACAUAAGUUUUAAGUUUGAAAGAUGCAAUUGCAUCACUCAAAGAUGAUCCCGCGUUGUAUUAGCUAGUUGGUGAGGUAAAGGCUCACCAAGGCGAUGAUACAUAGCCGACCUGAGAGGGUGAUCGGCCACAUUGGGACUGAGACACGGCCCAAACUCCUACGGGAGGCAGCAGUAGGGAAUCUUCGGCAAUGGACGAAAGUCUGACCGAGCAACGCCGCGGGAGGGAAGAAGGUUUUCGGAUCGUAAAACUCUGUUGGUAGAGAAGAACGUUGGUGAGAGUGGAAAGCUCAUCAAGUGACGGUAACUACCCAGAAAGGGACGGCUAACUACGUG
rnacentral:rRNA from 1 species